GAUCAUUUGACUGAAGAAACCAGACAGAAUCUCAGGUGUUAAAUUCGAGUCUUUACUGAGACAGGGCAGAAGAAAAAAUGGGACCUCCCGUAUCCUCAUUACUGAUCUUGUGGCUUCAGCUGGACUGGAUGAGUGGCCAACAGGUGCAACAGAGUCCUGAAUCCCUGAUGCUCCAUGAGAGAGAAAGCACCACUUUGAACUGCACUUACACAAGCUCUAUAAACAACCUACAAUGGUACAGACAUCAUCCUGGGAAAGGCCCCAUGAUCCUGUUUACAAUAGUUUUAGAUGGGGAUGAGAAAGAACAAGGAAGAUUGAAAGCUACCCUCAGCACUAAGGGACGUCACAGUUCCCUGAGCAUCUCAGCUGCCCAGCCCAGAGACUCAGCCACCUACUUCUGUGCUGUGGAGGCACAGUGA